AGUCGUGUGUACAUCAUUGGGAAUGGAGGGAAAUAAAUGACUGGAUGGUCGCUGCUUUUUAAGUUUCAAAUUGACAUUCCAGACAAGCGGUGCCUGAGCCCGUGCCUGUCUUCAGAUCUUCACAGCACAGUUCCUGGGAAGGUGGAGCCACCAGCCUCUCCCUGACAAGCAAAGUGGAUCAGCAAAGGCUGCAGUCACCAGCAUCUUUUCCAACCUUAAUGAACUGUAUCCUCAAAAGAACACUAUCAGACUGGCUCUGCCGACUUCCAGUUCUGGAACAAGAUGGUUAAACUCAUUUUUCCCUGCUCUGCUCCUCUAAAUACAACUAAGUACCUUGGAAACUAUUCAGCAGACAAUGAUAAAGGGCUCUGAAAGCUAGAAGAAAAGGUGUACUUGCAAGAAACCUCAGGACUUGAGUAACAGCAACAUGGCAGGCCAGAAAGCAGACCCAGGGAGGAUAGCACAUGUCUUCGGCUACACUGGUGAAGGCAUCGUGCCUGCUCCACAGCACAUUUUUAUUCAAGAUGUGUACCAUGUGAUGGCCAAGGGAGCUUCAUCAAUCAUGGCAUCUCAAGGGAGCUGGAGCAGAUGAGGAGGAGAUGGAGGUCCCAGGAAGGGCUGUGAUCUGCCUGGGGUCCCACAAUGGGAAACAGAACAAUCCAUUUCACAGAUGAAGAAACAGACUCAGUGAGCACGUGAUCACUUCUCACAACUAAUGGAGCCAAGAUUCUGUCCUUAUGGCUCCAGAGACCUCUUUUUUUUCCCACUGUACCACAACACUCACCAGGACUGGAGUGCCACCUAUGACCUCAUUGCAUAAUGGAUG
rnacentral:lncRNA from 10 species